AUUCAGUAGAAUAUCAACGUUUUAACUUGAGUUUCGCUCUAUCGAAAAUUGUCCGAAGUCCUGCAGUAGUAUUAAGAUAUGGCACCAAUGCUUCUUUUGAUAUGCAUAGUCGCAACAACCAUGAGUUUCGGAGAGAUUCGAGCUGUUUCCUCCGAGCGAUCACAAGAUAUCGAACUUAAUGUCAAUAAUGGACAAACAAGUGAAAAUCAUGAUGACCGUUCAGAUGAUCUACUAGUAAGAUGUCCUACUGGAUUCUGGUGUUGAAGAUAAUGACACAGCAUGAAUGAAUGAAUGAAUCAUCUGAAUAAAACAAUUGAAGUUUGAGAUAGUGAAAUGAA